UCUGAAACGAAGCAUCAUGAGGUCGAUCAUAUUAGUAUUGUUGGCUCUUGUUCUGGUAGUGCUUUCCCAAAAAACUUUAGAGGAGGAAGGUAUAAAGCUGAAUUGAAUUUUGUCUGUUGAUUAUAUUUUUUUUUUCUGCUAGCUUGCGCCAUCAGGUUUCAGAAAUUUUGGAAUGGUAACUAUUAAUAAUAUACAUAUACAUAUCUAAAUCGACUCUAUAACGACAGUAUUUAUUGUUUUUUAGAAUGCAAAACGGGCAAGUGCAAGUCAGAUGUCAUCAAGCAGUUUAAAAGCAAGUAAAACAAUUAUUCAGAAAAUUAUUAUUACAUUUAACGCAUUUCAGAAUGUGAUCCGAACGGAGAGCUAACGUUUUCUUCUACCAACUACGAUUAAUUUCCAACUAAUAUCAUUUAGUAAACCAUUUAGUUAUUUGUUCUACAUUCACCAAGAUUGCAAAACUUACUAAGGGGUUUUUCGGUCAAGUUUAUAUAAUAAACAAAAUUCUGUU
rnacentral:lncRNA from 1 species